rnacentral:misc_RNA from 1 species
CAACCCUCGAGGCCCCCCCGGGGGCCCGGCGUUGGGGACCGGCCCUGGCCGCCCCCGAAAUGCAGUGGCGACCUCGCCGCAGCCUCCCCUGCGUAGUAGCACACACCUCGCACCGGAGCGCGGAGACGGUCACGCCGUAAAACGCACCAGCUUUCAAG